AAUUGCGAAAAGUAAUGUGACGUGCACCCUUUGAGAAGCAUUUUACUCUUUGAACGCACCUUGCGCGCAUCCUUCUGGGAUGCGAGGUCCUGUUUGAGCGUGUUUAUUAACUCAUAGCUGAUUCUCUGCUUACGGCUCGACUUGUCGAGCCACCAGCAAAACUUGUCGAGCCGCCAGCAAAGAAUUGAAAGACAUGCAGGACGCCCGAACGACUCUAGGGCGCCACGAGGAGCAGCGCGACAAGCACCACUGCGAAUCGGGGCACUGCGGGUUUGCACGAUGCGCGAGCACGGACAAACACACGCCAAAAUCCAACACCUCAAAUCAGGAUAGAGGACCCGCUGAACUUAAGCAUAUCAGUAAGCGGAGGAAAAGAAACUAACGAGGAUUCCCUCAGUAACGGCGAGUGAAGCGGGAACAGCCCAUGACGAACCAGUCGCCGCAGUGGCGAACGGAAUGUGUCGUGGAGCGGGGCACGGUGCUCAGCAGACGCAGCAGGUCCCCUGGAAAGGGGCGGCAGAGAGGGUGAUACCCCCGUGGCAGCGUCGGCGACAGCACAGCGUGGCCCGCAGCGAGUCGGAUUGUUUGGGAAUGCAAUCCCAAGUAGGUGGUACGCGCCAUCUAAGGCUAAAUAGCGGCAAGAGACCGAUAGCAAACAAGUACCGUGAGGGAAAGAUGAAAAGGACUCUGAAGAGAGAGUCAAAAGUGCGUGAAAUUGCGUGGAGGGAAACGAAGGCGACCUUUGUUGGAACGGCGGCGUUUGGGGGCGCAAGAAGCGGCGUGGGAGGUGCCCAGUGGCGACACUAGGACAUAGAGCCAGGCCGGAUUGCGCGCACAGACACCCGUCGGAGAGGGCGUCUUUGACCCGG
rnacentral:rRNA from 1 species